rnacentral:rRNA from 1 species
UUUAUCAAAAACAUGUCUCUUUGAGUUUUUUUAAUAAAGAGUUGGGCCUGCUCGGUGAUUAAUAUUUAACAGCUGCGGUAUUAUAACUGUACUAAGGUAGCAUAAUAAUUUGCUCUAUAAAUUGGGGCUAGAAUGAAUGGUUUGACGAAAAUUUAACUGUCUCUAUUUUAUUUAUUAGAAAUUAAUUUUUAUAGUGAGAAAGCUUAAAUUGUUUAAAGGGACGAAAAGACCCUAUUGAGCUUAUAUUAUUUAUUAAAUUAUAGAGUUAUAAUUUAUUAUAAAUUAAUUUUGGUUGGGGUGAUCAAGGAAUAAGUUUAAUGAUUAUAUAACUUCCUUAACUGAACUAUUUUUUGGAAAAAUAAACCAAGUUUUUUGCUUAGAAGAUAAGUUACCAUAGGGAUAACAGCGUAAUUUUUUUUGAGAGUUCGUAUUGAAAAAAGAGAUUGCGACCUCGAUGUUGGAUUAAAAUUAACCUUAAGGUGUAGAGGCUUUGUUAGGUAAAUCUGUUCGAUUUUUAAAAUUUUACGUGAUCUGAGUUCAGACCGG